rnacentral:rRNA from 1 species
UACGAAGGGGGCUAGCGUUGCUCGGAAUCACUGGGCGUAAAGCGCACGUAGGCGGAUUGCUAAAGUCAGGGGUGAAAUCCUGGAGCUCAACUCCAAGAACUGCCUUUUGAUACUGGCGAUCUCGAGUCCGGGAGAGGUGAGUGGAACUGCGAGUGUAGAAGUGAAAAUUCGUAGAUAUUCGCAAAGAACACCAGUGGCGAAAGGCGGCUCACUGGCCCCGGUACUGACGCUGAGGUGGCGAAAAGCGUGGGGGAGCAAACAGGG